rnacentral:rRNA from 1 species
GCCCAAGAGAUCGGGAUAACACCUGGAAACAGAUGCUAAUACCGGAUAACAACAGAUGAUGCCUAUCAACUGUUUAAAAGAUGGUUCUGCUAUCACUCUUGGAUGGACCUGCGGUGCAUUAGCUAGUUGGUAGGGUAACGGCCUACCAAGGCGAUGAUGCAUAGCCGAGUUGAGAGACUGAUCGGCCACAUUGGGACUGAGACACGGCCCAAACUCCUACGGGAGGCAGCAGNU